rnacentral:rRNA from 1 species
UACAGAGGGUGCGAGCGUUAAUCGGAAUUACUGGGCGUAAAGCGCACGUAGGUGGCGACGUAAGUCGGGUGUGAAAGCCCCGGGCUCAACCUGGGAAUUGCAUUCGAGACUGCAUUGCUGGAGUACGGAAGAGGAAGGCGGAAUUCCCGGUGUAGCGGUGAAAUGCGUAGAUAUCUGGAGGAACAUCGGUGGCGAAGGCGGCAUCCUGGACCGGUAUUGACGCUGAGGCGCGAAAGCUAGGGGGAGCAAACGGG